rnacentral:rRNA from 1 species
AUUGAACGCUGGCGGCAGGCCUAACACAUGCAAGUCGAGCGGAUGAAGGGAGCUUGCUCCUGGAUUCAGCGGCGGGCGGGUGAGUAAUGCCUAGGAAUCUGCCUGGUAGUGGGGGAUAACGUCCGGAAACGGGCGCUAAUACCGCAUACGUCCUGAGGGAGAAAGUGGGGGAUCUUCGGACCUCACGCUAUCAGAUGAGCCUAGGUCGGAUUAGCUAGUUGGUGGGGUAAAGGCCUACCAAGGCGACGAUCCGUAACUGGUCUGAGAGGAUGAUCAGUCACACCGGAACUGAGACACGAUCCAGACUCCUACGGGAGGCAGCAGUGGGGAAUAUUGGACAAUGGGCGAAAGCCUGAUCCAGCCAUGCCGCGUGUGUGAAGAAGGUCUUCGGAUUGUAAAGCACUUUAAGUUGGGAGGAAGGGCAGUAAGUUAAUACCUUGCUGUUUUGACGUUACCAACAGAAUAAGCACCGGCUAACUUCGUG